UACGUAGGGUGCAAGCGUUGUCCGGAAUUUAUUGGGCGUAAAGAGCUCGUAGGCGGUUUGUUGCGUCGGCUGUGAAAUCCCGAGGCUCAACCUCGGGUCUGCAGUCGAUACGAGCAGGCUGGAGUUCGGUAGGGGAGACUGGAAUUCCUGGUGUAGCGGUGAAAUGCGCAGAUAUCAGGAGGAACACCGGUGGCGAAGGCGGGUCUCUGGGCCGAUACUGACGCUGAGGAGCGAAAGCGUGGGGAGCGAACAGG
rnacentral:rRNA from 1 species